rnacentral:rRNA from 1 species
CCAGACUCCUACGGGAGGCAGCAGUGAGGAAUAUUGGUCAAUGGUCGGGAGACUGAACCAGCCAAGCCGCGUGAGGGAUGAAGGUACUGAGUAUCGUAAACCUCUUUUGUCGGGGAACAAAGGCGGGGACGCGUCCCCGGAUGAGUGUACCUGAAGAAAAAGCAUCGGCUAACUCCGUGCCAGCAGCCGCGGUAAUACGGAGGAUGCGGGCGUUAUCCGGAUUUAUUGGGGUUAAAGGGUGGGCAGGCGGCGCGUAUGGGUGGGGGGGAAAGCGCGGGGCCCCCCCCCCCGCCCCGCCGUUGAAACUGGCAGUCUCGAGUUGGAGAGAAGUAUGCGGAAUGCGCGGUGUAGCGGUGAAAUGCAUAGAUAUCGCGGAGAACUCCGAUUGCGAAGGCAGCAUGCCGGCUCCACACUGACGCUGAGGCACGAAAGCGUGGGUAUCGAACAGGAUUAGAUACCCGGGUAA